UACGUAGGGUGCAAGCGUUAAUCGGAAUUACUGGGCGUAAAGCGUGCGCAGGCGGUUGUGCAAGACAGAUGUGAAAUCCCCGGGCUCAACCUGGGAAUUGCAUUGUGACUGCACGGCUAGAGUGUGUCAGAGGGGGGUAGAAUUCCACGUGUAGCAGUGAAAUGCGUAGAGAUGUGGAGGAAUACCGAUGCGAAGGCAGCCCCCUGGGAUAACACUGA
rnacentral:rRNA from 1 species